UUGUUCCUUUUUUUUUUUUUAAUUUCGAGGGUUCACAAGAAAAAUUUAAGGUAAUUUUCUAUCCUCUAUAAGAUAUUUUUUUAACGUUAAUUUGUUGUACAAAAUUUUUAUAACUACACAACGAUUAUGAUUUUAGAAGUUUACUGAAUUAAUAUAUCGCAUACUUAAUUCAACUCUUUUUCGGUGUACUGUUGAUUUCUGUAAUUUUACUAAUUGUGUGAAAACACAAUCACGGUAGCAGCAGCGUAUUUAGUCCAAUAAUCCAAUUACAUAACUCCAUUUCCAACUUGCUGGUUUUUAA
rnacentral:misc_RNA from 1 species